CAUUUAGAGGAAGUAAAAGUCGUAACAAGGUCUCCGUAGGUGAACCUGCGGAGGGAUCAUUA
rnacentral:rRNA from 3 species